rnacentral:rRNA from 1 species
CCUACGGGGUGCAGCAGUGGGGGAUAUUGCACAAUGGGGGGAACCCUGAUGCAGCGACGCCGCGUGGGUGAAGACGCGCCUCGGCGCGUAAAGCCCUGUCAGCAGGGAAGAAAAUGACGGUACCUGAAGAAGAAGCCCCGGCUAACUACGUGCCAGCAGCCGCGGUAAUACGUAGGGGGCCAGGGUUAUCCGGAUUUACUGGGUGUAAAGGGGGCGCAGACGGCGAUGCAAGCCAGGAGUGAAAGCCCGGGGGCCAAACCCGGGAGUGCUGUUGGAACUGCGUGGCUGGAGUGCACGAGGGGCAGGCGGAAUGCGUGGUGUAGCGGUGAAAUGCGUAGAUAUCAGGAAGAACACCGGUGGCGAAGGCAGCCUGCUGGACUGCAACUGACGUUGAGGCCCGAAAGCGUGGGGAGCAAACAGGAUUAGAUACCCCAGUAGUC